UACCCGCAGCACAAGUGGUGGUCAUUAUUAUUGGGCCUAAAGCGUCCGUAGCUGGCCUGUUAGAUGCCUGGGUAAAUCGAUGCGCUCAACGCAUCGAACUCCGGGUAGACCGGCAGGCUUGGGACCGGGAGAGGCGUGAGCUACUCGAGGGGUAGGGGUAAAAGUCCUGUAAUCCUUCGGGGAGGACCAGUGGCGAAGGCGUCACGCUAGAACGGCUCCGACAGUGAGGGACGAAGCCCUGGGGCGCAAACCGG
rnacentral:rRNA from 1 species